rnacentral:rRNA from 1 species
UACAGAGGUCUCAACCGUUGUUCGGAUUCAUUGGGCGUAAAGGGUGCGUAGGCGGUCGGGUAAGUCGGAUGUGAAAUCUCAGGGCUCAACCCUGAAACUGCAUUCGAUACUGCUUGGCUAGGGUACUGGAGAGGAGACUGGAAUUUACGGUGUAGCAGUGAAAUGCGUAGAUAUCGUAAGGAAGACCAGUGGCGAAGGCGGGUCUCUGGGCAGUUACUGACGCUGAGGAGCGAAAGCGUGGGGAGCGAACAGG